UUGAUGUCCUGAACUUUAUCUCAUCCAAUAACAUAGUAUUGCAUAUGAAAUUUUACAUUGAAUAGUACUAUUUUACUGGAUUAGAUUUAUUAAUGUGAACUAAAAUUUUAAAUAAUGUGUCACUAUAUUAUUAAUCUUCAUGCUUAAUUAAGACCUUUAAUUUCUCAUUUGUGGGGUCCAUAUUUUUGUUUCAGUGGGCUCAUUUCCCACACAUUCAUUUCGGACUUAUGCCUGAUCAUCAACCCGUGAAGAAAGCUAAUGUGCGCCAGGAAUCAGAAGACGUGCUUAUGAAAGAUGGGUUUUUCGCACCGGCAAAUGUAGGUGUUACCCCCUACUAAAACAGUUUAUGGUUUAGGGCUUCGAGUAUCACUCUUAUCUAAGUAACUAUUGUACUAUGAUUUUGUCUUAUGCAUAUUAAUGUUGUGCACUUGUGAUAGUACUUGUUAGUGUUAAAAGUUGUUAGACUAUAUUAC